GAUGAACGCUGGCGGCGUGCCUAAUACAUGCAAGUCGAGCGAACAGACGAGGAGCUUGCUCCUCUGACGUUAGCGGCGGACAGGUGAGUAACACGUGGAUAACCGACCUAUAAGACUGGGAUAACUUCGGGAAACCGGAGCUAAUACCGGAUAAUAUAUUGAACCGCAUGGUUCAAUAGUGAAAGACGGUUUUGCUGUCACUUAUAGAUGGAUCCGCGCCGCAUUAGCUAGUUGGUAAGGUAACGGCUUACCAAGGCAACGAUGCGUAGCCGACCUGAGAGGGUGAUCGGCCACACUGGAACUGAGACACGGUCCAGACUCCUACGGGAGGCAGCAGUAGGGAAUCUUCCGCAAUGGGCGAAAGCCUGACGGAGCAACGCCGCGUGAGUGAUGAAGGUCUUCGGAUCGUAAAACUCUGUUAUUAGGGAAGAACAAAUGUGUAAGUAACUAUGCACGUCUUGACGGUACCUAAUCAGAAAGCCACGGCUAACUACGUG
rnacentral:rRNA from 1 species